rnacentral:rRNA from 1 species
GACGAACGCUGGCGGCGUGCUUAACACAUGCAAGUCGAACGAUGAGCCCGGAGCUUGCUCCGGUGGAUUAGUGGCGAACGGGUGAGUAACACGUGAGUAACCUGCCCUUGACUCUGGGAUAACUGCGGGAAACUGUAGCUAAUACCGGAUACGACCCUCGGCGGCAUCGCCAGGGGGUGGAAAGAAUUUCGGUCAAGGAUGGACUCGCGGCCUAUCAGCUAGUUGGUGAGGUAACGGCUCACCAAGGCGACGACGGGUAGCCGGCCUGAGAGGGUGAUCGGCCACACUGGGACUGAGACACGGCCCAGACUCCUACGGGAGGCAGCAGUGGGGAAUAUUGCACAAUGGGCGCAAGCCUGAGGCAGCAACGCCGCGUGAGGGAUGACGGCCUUCGGGUUGUAAACCUCUUUUAGCAGGGAAGAAGCGAAAGUGACGGUACCUGCAGAAAAAGCACCGGCUAACUACGUGCCAGCCGCCGCGGUAA